CCCUUAGGUGUUCUGGGCCGCACGCGCGCUACACUGAUGCGUUCAACAAGUUUCCUUGGCCGAGAGGCCUGGGCAAUCUUCUUAAUAUGUAUCGUGAUAGGGAUAGAUUAUUGCAAUUAUUAAUCUUGAACGAGGAAUUCCUAGUAAACGCAGAUCAUCAAUCUGCAUUGAUUACGUCCCUGCCCUUUGUACACACCGCCCGUCGCACCUACCGAUUGGAUGUUCCGGUGAAGCCUCGGGAUGAGGACUGGUGCCUUUAUUGGCAUGAGUUGUUCAGAACUUGUCUAAACCUUAUCAUCUAGAGGAAGGUGAAGUCGUAACA
rnacentral:rRNA from 1 species